rnacentral:rRNA from 1 species
GGAGGUAGUGACAAUAAAUCUCAAUACGAAGCCUUUGGUUUUGUAAUUGAAUUGAGAACAAUGUACAAUCGUUAUCGAUAAACAAUUGGAGGGCAAGUCUGGUGCCAGCAGCCGCGGUAAUUCCAGCUCCAAUAGCGUAUAUUAACGUUGUUGCAGUUAAAAAGCUCGUAGUUGAAGUUUAGAUGGUUUGAAGGGGGUGUUAGUAUUCGUACUAUCUGCUCUCUUUAGAUUAUCGACUUCCAGGUAAGCUCAAUAAUCCCUCCGGGGACUAUUAAGCCAGACUGGUCUUUUACUGUGAGAAAAUUAGAGUGUUUAAAGCAGACUUUUAUUUAGUUUGAAUAGAUUAGCAUGGAAUAAUAAGAUUGGCUUUCAUAGUCGAUUUUUUGGUUUGUUUAUGAAAGCAAGAUUAAUAGGGACAGUUGGGGGUAUUCAUAUUCAAUAGCUAGAGGUGAAAUUCUAUGAUUUAUGGAAGAUGAACAAGUGCGAAAGCA